GAUGAACGCUAGCGGCAGGCUUAACACAUGCAAGUCGAGGGGUAACAGGGAGUGCUUGCACUCCGCUGACGACCGGCGCACGGGUGCGUAACGCGUAUGCAACCUACCUUCUACAGGGGGAUAGCCCAGAGAAAUUUGGAAUAAUACCCCAUACGAUCAUUAAUUGGCAUCGAUUGAUGAAGAAAACUCCGGUGGUAGAAGAUGGGCAUGCGUCCUAUUAGUUAGUUGGUGAGGUAACGGCUCACCAAGACGUCGAUAGGUAGGGGUCCUGAGAGGGAGAUCCCCCACACUGGUACUGAGACACGGACCAGACUCCUACGGGAGGCAGCAGUGAGGAAUAUUGGACAAUGGAGGCAACUCUGAUCCAGCCAUGCCGCGUGCAGGAAGACGGCCCUAUGGGUUGUAAACUGCUUUUAUGCAGGAAGAAUUGUACCUACGUGUAGGUAUUUGACGGUACUGUACGAAUAAGGAUCGGCUAACUCCGCCCUAGAAGG
rnacentral:rRNA from 1 species